CCCCCUGUUCCGCCGCCCCUGUUCCUUUCUAUUUAUGAUUGGUUAGUUGCACAAACAACAAAGGUGAUUGGUGCAUUCAAACUAUUCAACAGGAAGUUUACAAUUAUACUAGGAAGUGUAUGAAUAUUUCGAGGAACUUGAUGAAAUGAAUUGGUCAGCCCGAGGUAAUGUAUUGAAUCAAUAUUUGAGGAACACUUCAAUUGGAACGACAGUAAUGGUAGUCAAAUCUGAACCUAUAUAAUGUCAAUAUACUGGAAAAGUAUCAAAUUAAAUUUUAAUUGUCAAUGUUGUGGAAA